AACGGGUAUGAACAUGGCUCCCCGCUUCAGGCAGGGGUGGCGGUUCCCGCCGCGGUGUACGAAGCCCUUUCGCGAGUAAGAGGCGUGUGGGAAAUGUCAGUAUCUUUCAGCGUGGUCUGAGGAACGUCGUCCUUCUAGGUAUUCUCCUCGGGUUUCUCGAAGCCACGCGUCUUACGGCGCGUGGCAGCUGGCGCGUGCCCUGCUGCUCUUCAGAUUUUCCCGCUCAUCUCGUGUGCAACCCAGCGCCGCUGCUGGAAGGUCCUGUCUGGUGGAACAGCUGCUUCAGAUGAUAUACCUCAGGAUGAUGUGGCUGUAGUGUUUUUAUCAGUGGCUACUGAGAAAGGAGCAUCCAAAAGGCAGAUUCGCCUAAGAACUGGUGAGAAGGCAAAGAAUGGCAAUUGGAUGUAUCGGGUGGAUCCAGUGAAAUAUGAUUUGAAUGGGACAGCAUAGACUUUUUCUCCUUCUGUUUCUCCUCUGGACAUCUAAUUGAUCCCUCUGAUUCUCCUUGAUGUGGAAUUCUUUCCCAGAGGUGCAAGGCCAGUCUCCUUUCAAGGUUAAUUGCAAAUGUGGGCAUGCCGGAACAGAAUUCAUCCUGAAAAUAACACCAAAAGUAUCCUAGUGUUACACUCAUUAGAAGAGCUACAAAAGAGUGUUUCAAGUCCGUGAAGAAUAUGUGCAAUGGGGACUUAUGGGGGCUUAUGUCACUGUGAGUAAAAUCACAUAAAAGACACUAUUCCUGUUUCUACAUUUGGUAAGUGUUCAUGUUUGUCUUGCAUUAGUGUUUGGAGGCCAAACAGUGCAUCAUAAAUAGCAUUAAAAAUGCUUUUGAGGAAAUAUGUGGAAAAUGACUAUAAUUUUCCACCAUGUCUUGUGAUCUCUCAAAGAGAAUGCCAGAAAUAGGGGACUUGUGUAAAACAGCAUGUUUUCUAAAAUAUCCUAGGAAGAUGCAUGCUUGCUACCUAUGUAGUCACCGAUCUGGGGCCAGCUGUAGCUUUACAGGUAAUUUUACAGGUAAAAACCACACAAAACCAAGCUCAGCAGGUACAAGUUGUUGUACCCAAUCAACUCCUAAAACACUACUGAUCUGAAAGUAAAUAAAAAUGUGAGGAUCUG
ensembl:lncRNA